ACCGCUAUUGUAGCCCUACUGAGACAUGAGGCAACGCGAGACGGGAAAGUAGAGAUCACUGUUGCGUUUUGAGUUUUGUUUUUACACGAGAGAGCACUAAGUUUACCUGUCGGAGAGCAGCGGGCAAACAACAAAUGAUAAAGGACAUUCCUACUUGGUCUUGGUUUAAAAAAAUUCCCUCAUGUCCAAAUUCAACAUGAAUGGUGGUGGUCCGCUGCAGAAAGAGGCAUUUGAAAAGACUGCACUGUUCUCGGUCAUUAGAGUAGGCAUCCAAGCAAAAGAGAAUGACUCCCUGUUACAAUUAGUGUAAAGUAAAACAUUAUGUCAAAAAAGCUUUUCUUAGGCUAUUUUUUAUUUAUUUAUUUAUUAUUUGGAAGAUGCUGUGAUGACCAGCUUCCCGGCAGCAACAGAGUUGGACUUGAGGAAUGCAGUUGGGAAGCAUUUCCAAACAAGAAAUAAAACCAGUAAUGAAUCAUUUCCUUUAAGUUCACUGUUGGUUGUUUUAUUUGUUAAAAUAAGUAAACCAACAAAAGGUUAAUCUUUUUUUUAUGUUGUCAUGCUCUUAAUUUGUAUUCGAUUUUUUUUCUUUUAAAUAUCUUAAGUUAGUUGUUAAAAAUUAUAUUUUUCUUAA